rnacentral:rRNA from 1 species
UACGUAGGGGGCAAGCGUUGUCCGGAAUCAUUGGGCGUAAAGCGCGCGUAGGUGGCCAUGUAAGUCCGCUGUGAAAGUCAAAGGCUCAACCUUUGAAAGCCGGUGGAUACUGCAUGGCUAGAGUACGGAAGAGGCGAGUGGAAUUCCUGGUGUAGCGGUGGAAUGCGCAGAUAUCAGGAGGAACACCAAUAGCGAAGGCAGCUCGCUGGGACGUCACUGACACUGAGGCGCGAAAGCGUGGGGAGCGAACAGG